GACGAACGCUGGCGGCGUGCUUAACACAUGCAAGUCGAACGGUGAAGCGCCUUCCUUUUUGGUGGGUGUGGAUGAGUGGCGAACGGGUGAGUAACACGUGAGUAACCUUCCCCCUUCUUCUGGAUAACCGCAUGCAAGUGUUGCUAAUACGGGAUAUUCUGGGUCUGUCGCAUGAUGGGUCUGGGAAAGAUAUUGUUUCGGUGGGGGAUGGGCUCGCGGCCUAUCAGCUUGUUGGUGGGGUGAUGGCCUACCAAGGCGGUGACGGGUAGCCGGCCUGAGAGGGUGGGCGGUCACAGUGGGACUGAGACACGGAGAAGACUACUACGGGAGGCAGCAGUGGGGAAUAUUGCACAAUGGGAGCAAGGCUGAUGCAGCGACGCCGCGUGAGGGAUGGAGGCCUUCGGGUUGUGAACCUCUUUCGCCAGUGAAGAAGGCCUGCCUCGUUUGUGGGUGGGUUGACGGUAGCUGGAUAAGAAGCGCCGGCUAACUACGUG
rnacentral:rRNA from 1 species